UGCUGUCCAAGAGGUGCGAGGAGGAUCGAGCAGGAAGACCCACUGAGAUUGACAACAAGCAGCAUUGUACCCUGAUCAAAUUAUCGACUCUAAGAACCUGAACAAAGACACAAAUUUUACUUAGGUGAAGUCUGUGAAGAUAGGAGAAAAGGCUUAAAACGAAGAAGGAUGAGGCAGCUAGCCCAUAUAGAUGUAAUGGAGCUCAUAAGAGCGAGAAGAGCCAAAGAAGAAAGAUGGUAUAUGGGGUGGGAAUCAUCACAGUAUUUUGCAGGACCACCGUCUGUUACAGU